rnacentral:rRNA from 1 species
GCAGUCGAACGGAAACGAUGGAAGCUUGCUUCCAGGCGUCGAGUGGCGGACGGGUGAGUAAUGCUUAGGAAUCUGCCCAGUAGUGGGGGACAACUCGAGGAAACUCGAGCUAAUACCGCAUACGCACUACGGUGGAAAGCGGGGGCUCUUCGGACCUCGCGCUAUUGGAUGAGCCUAAGUCGGAUUAGCUUGUUGGUAGGGUAAUGGCCUACCAAGGCGACGAUCCGUAGCUGGUCUGAGAGGACGAUCAGCCACACUGGGACUGAGACACGGCCCAGACUCCUACGGGAGGCAGCAGUGGGGAAUAUUGGACAAUGGGCGCAAGCCUGAUCCAGCAAUGCCGCGUGUGUGAAGAAGGCCUGCGGGUUGUAAAGCACUUUCAGUAGAGAAGAAAAGCCCAGGGUUAAUACCCCUGUGUCUUGACGUAACCUACAGAAGAAGCACCGGCUAACUCCGUGCCAGCAGCCGCGGUAAUACGGAGGGUGCGAGCGUUAAUCGGAAUUACUGGGCGUAAAGCGCGCGUAGGCGGUUUAGUAAGUCGGAUGUGAAAUCCCCGGGCUUAACCCGGGAACUGCAUUCGAUACUGCUUGACUAGAGUAUGGUAGAGGGAAGUGGAAUUCCGGGUGUAGCGGUGAAAUGCGUAGAUAUCCGGAGGAACACCAGUGGCGAAGGCGACUUCCUGGGCCAAUACUGACGCUGAGGUGCGAAAGCGUGGGGAGCAA